CCUACGGGGUGCAGCAGUGGGGAAUAUUGCACAAUGGGCGCAAGCCUGAUGCAGACAUGCCGCGUGUAUGAAGAAGGCCUUAGGGUUGUAAAGUACUUUCAGUCGGGAGGAAGGCGUUGAUGCUAAUAUCAUCAACGAUUGACGUUACCGACAGAAGAAGCACCGGCUAAGUCCGUGCCAGCAGCCGCAGUAAUACGGAGGGUGCAAGCGUUAAUCGGAAUUACUGGGCGUAAAGCGCACGCAGGCGGGUGAUUAAGUUAGAUGUGAAAUCCCCGGGCUUAACCUGGGAAUGGCAUCUAAGACUGGUCAGCUAGAGUCUUGUAGAGGGGGGUAGAAUUCCAUGUGUAGCGGUGAAAUGCGUAGAGAUGUGGAGGAAUACCGGUGGCGAAGGCGGCCCCCUGGACAAAGACUGACGCUCAGGUGCGAAAGCGUGGGGAGCAAACAGGAUUAGAUACCCGUGUAGUC
rnacentral:rRNA from 1 species